CCGAGUCAUUCCGAUUUGUCACACUUUCGAUUGGACCCCUGGCACACGAAGGAGUGAGCGCCGGGAUUACAAUGACAUCAGGGUGGAUUCUCUUCAGUUUCGGCAGAGUUUGAACUGGCUACCGUGCAAAUUUAACCUGAUUAGGUACGGUAGGCCCAGGCUCCCCAGUUAUCCGCCUCCGACUCCAACUUGGACAGAUACCUAUUAGAGAAAAUUACAGGAAAAGCCGUAAAUAAAAAUACCGGAUAGCUUCCGCAUUUUUCUCUGGAAUUCCUGGAUACGGUUCGUCUCUUCGGGUACCAUUACAGAGCUGUGAGACGAAUCCCCUUGGCCGCAGUGACAAUGCAAAAUUGUGUGUUGACCGCUCGUCACGUCGAUAAAUCAGGUAUGUGUAAUAGACGUUGAGUGCUCUCGAGUAUGCACACGUGCCGGACAUGACACACGACACACCGCACCGUAACACAUGUAGAGUGUUGUAUGAUUGCGGUGGUGUGAAUCUGUCAAAUGAAUGUCGUUACUAACUUAGAAUAAAACUAUUCACGUGCCGUAGCACCGUUAAAUCUCGUCCAAUCUUCGAGGAAUGCCAGUUAUGACUUAACUUACAUACCUAUAGCGUACAACGCAAUCGUAUGUACAAUGUACUUUUUACAGAUUAGCUUUUUUGGAUCGAGUAUAUAUAAAUAGAGCGAUUUUUUAUAGACA